rnacentral:rRNA from 1 species
AACGAACGCUGGCGGCAUGCCUAACACAUGCAAGUCGAACGAGAUCUUCGGGUCUAGUGGCGCACGGGUGCGUAACGCGUGGGAAUCUGCCCUGUGGUUCGGAAUAACAGUUGGAAACGACUGCUAAUACCGGAUGAUGACGAAAGUCCAAAGAUUUAUCGCGAGAGGAUGAGCCCGCGUAGGAUUAGCUAGUUGGUGUGGUACAGGCGCACCAAGGCGACGAUCCUUAGCUGGUCUGAGAGGAUGAUCAGCCACACUGGGACUGCGACACGGCCCAGACUCCUCCGGGAUGCAGCAGUGGGGAAUAUUGGAAAAUAGGCGAAAGCCUGAUCCAGCAAUGCCGCGUGAGUGAUGAAGGCCUUAGGGUUGUAAAGCUUUUUUACCCGGGAUGAUAAUGACAGUACCGGGAGAAUAAGCUCCGGCUAACUCCGUGCCAGCCGCCGCCGUAA